UGCUUAGAAGGGCAGCAAAUUCAACCUAUCACUCCUCUGAAUACAUUCAUCUCCCUACCUGGCACUCCUGCUUUUACAUUAUUGAAAGAAAUUUCUGAUCAUCUCAUUUCCUGAAUAGUCUGAAUGGGCCACACUGGUCAAGUUUGAUUCUGUCUCAUCAUUCACAAUAUCUUUAGCUCCAUGGAAACCAGCAAAACAGAGAGAGGAAGAAAGAAAGAUUCAUUGAGGGAUGUCUGCUUCCAAGGCCUCCAGUGAGUGUGGACCCAUGUGACAGUGCCCUGCAUCGGCCAGCAGAACCCAUAGUGAUUCUCUCUUACAGGGUAUAGCUGCUUCCACGGGUGUCACCAUCACCUCUACAGGGCCCUGAUAUUGCCACUUGGCAUUGUCACUGCCUUUUUCAGGUACUGCGUCUUUCAAAGAGUGCCGUCAAGUGCUGCUGCCACAAUAUACCACUAAUGUCUCAACUCACCUCUGCCACUUGCUCUGACUAGUAUCGCCUUCAUUAGGGCUGUUCUUGCCGUAAUGAACCAUCAAGAAACCCUGGCCAAGGCUGUACGGGGAUCUGGGGAAAACUGUAAAGAUCUCUUCUCUGUACUUGUGUUAUUUCGUUUAGUGGCAUAUUAAAAAGGGCUGUUCAGUUCCAAACUUCAGAGUUUUUACUGAAACAGCUGUGAUGAGAUAA